rnacentral:lncRNA from 1 species
GAGGUGUUGGGGACGGAAGAUCUACCAACGGCUCGAGGAUAGUAGUAUGGAGGUGACCCCAUCUCUAAUGAAGGUGCUGGCGGCAUCUCCUUGCUGCUGUUCUUGCGAGCCGCCAUGGAGGAGAGGUGUCGGGGAACGUUGCAUGGGAAACAAAAAAAUUCCUACACACACGAAGACCUAUCAUGGUGAUGAUCAUCUAUGAGCGGGAGAUCGGAUCCACAUACCCUUGUAGAUCACUAAGCAGGAAGCGUUAAAAACGCGGUUUAUGUAGUGGAACGUCUUCGCGAUCAAAAUUGCCGCCGUCCCACGAUCCGUCCCGAUCUAGCGCCGAACGGACGACACCUCCAUGUUCAGCACAUGUAUAGCUCGAUGACGAUCUCUGCCUUCUUGAUCCAACAAGAGAGACGAAGAGGUAGCUGAAUUCUCCGGCAACACGACGACGUGGCGGUGAUGAUGGUGAAGCUACUCCAGCAGGGCUUCUUCGUGCCGUAUCGAUCUAGCUACGAGGUGUCACGAAGUAGUGGAGGGAGAGAGGGCUUCAUAAAGG